UACGAAGGGUGCAAACGUUGCUCGGAAUUAUUGGGCGUAAAGCGCACGUAGGCGGCUUGGCAAGUCGGAUGUGAAAUCCCUCGGCUCAACCAAGGAAGUGCAUCCGAAAACUGCUGAGCUUGAGUACUUUAAGAGGAUCGCGGAAAUUCCCGGUGUAGAGGUGAAAUUCGUAGAUAUGCGGAGGAACACCGAUGGCGAAGGCAAUCCCCUGGACCUGUACGUGACGCUCAUGCACGAAAGCGUGGGGAGCAAACAGGG
rnacentral:rRNA from 1 species